rnacentral:rRNA from 1 species
AAGCUCGUAGUUGAAUUUCGGGGUCAGUAGGUUGGUCGUGCCACCGGUACGUACUGGUCUCACUGAUUCCUCCUUCCUGAUGAGCUGUAAUGCCAUUAAUUUGGUGUUGCGGGGAAUCUGGACUGUUACUUUGAAAAAAUUAGAGUGUUUAAAGCAGGCUAACGCUUGAAUACAUUAGCAUGGAAUAAUGAAAUAGGACGUUCGAUCCUAUUUUGUUGGUUUCUAGGAUUGACGUAAUGAUUAAUAGGGAUAGUUGGG